CCUACGGGUGGCAGCAGUGAGGAAUAUUGGUCAAUGGACGAGAGUCUGAACCAGCCAAGCAGCGUGAAGGAUGACUGCCCUAUGGGUUGUAAACUUCUUUUAUAUGGGAAUAAAACGUUCCACGUGUGGGAGUUUGUAUGUACCAUAUGAAUAAGGAUCGGCUAACUCCGUGCCAGCAGCCGCGGUAAUACGGAGGAUCCGAGCGUUAUCCGGAUUUAUUGGGUUUAAAGGGAGCGUAGGCGGGUGGUUAAGUCAGUUGUGAAAGUUUGCGGCUCAACCGUAAAACUGCAGUUGAAACUGGUAGUCUUGAGUACAGUAGAGGCAGGCGGAAUUCGUGGUGUAGCGGUGAAAUGCUUAGAUAUCACGAAGAACUCCGAUUGCGAAGGCAGUUCACUGGACUGCAACUGACGCUGAGGCGCGAAAGUGUGGGUAGCAAACAGGAUUAGAUACCCUAGUAGUC
rnacentral:rRNA from 1 species